rnacentral:rRNA from 1 species
UACCAGCACCCCGAGUGGUCGGGACGAUUAUUGGGCCUAAAGCAUCCGUAGCCGGUCCUGCGAGUCCUCCGUUAAAUCCACCCGCUCAACGGUUGGGCCGCGGGGGAUACUACAGGGCUAGGAGGCGGGAGAGGCAAGCGGUACUCGAUGGGUAGGGGUAAAAUCCACUGAUCCAUUGAAGACCACCAGUGGCGAAGGCGGCCUGCCAGAACGCGCUCGACGGUGAGGGAUGAAAGCUGGGGGAGCAAACCGG